UACGAAGGGUGCAAACGUUGCUCGGAAUUAUUGGGCGUAAAGCGCACGUAGGCGGCUUAGCAAGUCGGAUGUGAAAGCCCUCGGCUCAACCAAGGAAGUGCAUCCGAAACUGCUGAGCUUGAGUACUUAAGAGGAUCGCGGAAUUCCCGGUGUAGAGGUGAAAUUCGUAGAUAUCGGGAGGAACACCAGUGGCGAAGGGCGGCUCCGAUCGGAUG
rnacentral:rRNA from 1 species